UGGACUGUCUAGUCUUUGCGUGUCUUCUUGGCAGAUCUCCUCUCCUCUUAAUCUAUUUCUUCCUCUCCAGUGUUACUGGCAUCAACAGGGGUCUCAACUGAAUCAUAAACAGUAGCUCUUUCUCCAUCAACCAUGGCAGCAGCAGUGCAACCUCUUAUGGUCCUUCAUUACUCUCACAAACCCUAACAUUGCAAAAUAUAAAAAGAGGUGACAGUUUUUUUUUUUUGAUAAAAGAUAAAAAAGAGGUGACAGUUUAGAGCAGCAUGUUGUUUUAUUCUUAAUAAAAAAAUUAGUGCUUACUUCUGCAGUUAAGCACUGCUUGCGCCACUCCUUGUCAAAGUAGAA
rnacentral:lncRNA from 1 species